rnacentral:tRNA from 1 species
GGGCGAAUGGUCUAGGGGUAUGAUUUCUGUUUCGCAUACAGAAGGUCCCGUGUUCGAAUCACGGUUCGUCCA